AGCGAACGCUGGCGGCAGGCCUAACACAUGCAAGUCGAACGAACUCUUCGGAGUUAGUGGCGGACGGGUGAGUAACACGUGGGAACGUGCCUUUUGGUUCGGAAUAACUCAGGGAAACUUGUGCUAAUACCGAAUGUGCCCUUCGGGGGAAAGAUUUAUCGCCAUUAGAGCGGCCCGCGUCUGAUUAGCUAGUUGGUGAGGUAACGGCUCACCAAGGCGACGAUCAGUAGCUGGUCUGAGAGGAUGACCAGCCACACUGGGACUGAGACACGGCUCAGACUCCUACGGGAGGCAGCAGUGGGGAAUCUUGCGCAAUGGGCGAAAGCCUGACGCAGCCAUGCCGUGUGAAUGAUGAAGGUCUUAGGAUUGUAAAAUUCUUUCACCGGGGACGAUAAUGACGGUACCCGGAGAAGAAGCCCCGGCUAACUUCGUG
rnacentral:rRNA from 1 species